rnacentral:rRNA from 1 species
GACGAACUGUGCAAACGUUAUUCGGAAUCACUGGGCUUGAAGAGUGCGUAGGCGGUUUCGUAAGUAGGGUGUGAAAGCCCUCGGCUCAACCGGGGAAUUGCGUCCUAAACUGCGAGGCUGGAGUGAGGUAGGGGUGUGCGGAACUUCCAGUGGAGCGGUGAAAUGUGUUGAUAUUGGAAGGAACGCCGGUGGCGAAAGCGGCACACUGGACCUUGUCUGACGCUGAGGCACGAAAGCCAGGGGAGCAAACGGGAUUAGAUACCCCGGUAGUCCUGGCCGUAAACGAUGAGUACUAGUGGGGAGGAUCGCAAGGUCUUCCUCACGGAGCGAAAGUUUUAAGUACUCCGCCUGGGGAGUAUGGUCGCAAGGCUG